CUUCGUGAAACAUUAGGGAGAUGGUUUACUCAGCAGAUAUUAGGAAGAGACAAAUGAAAUGAAAAGGAAAAACUGACUUCUGCAGCUGCGAUGAUAAGUGAGGAAGUUAAUGGCAAACGUUUUAACCAAAAUGGUUAUCAAUACUAGUUGUUUGGAUCCACAAGUAACAUCAGGAGAACCUACUCCAAGAGGUAUAUAGCCCACAAAUUUGAAUUCUAAAUCCAAAAUAAAUAAAACCAAAAACAAAAUGAUGCAUCCGGAAAGAUAAAACAAAUACUCUCUCAUCGAUCUACCUACAGAGUUAUCGGGCUGCUUGACCUUGUGCAUGCUCCAGAAGUUGACUAACCAAUUUGUAGGUGCGCCCGUUAAGGGCCUUGGUAUGGUCUAUCAGUUGCUCUUACACGUUUGGAUGAUUAGGCUCCAUGAUAACGGUUCCAGUGUGAGAGUCAAUUUUCGCAUCAAGCUUUGAGCUACGGAUGAGAUUAACAAUCCAUCUCUCAGCCUCCUCAUAAUUCAGAUUUAACUUCUCAGCAAGCACUCUGAAAAAUAUCACAAGUGAGCAACCCUAUCUUAUAAUUUUGGUUACAGAUCCCCAAUAUGUCAUUUAGGUGCGUAACAUGAAAAGUAGACCACAGGAAACCGUAUAUAAUAAAACAUAACAUCAUAUAACAAAAAAGAUAUAAAUUUGGGAAAUACAGUCAAGACCUAGAGUAAAACCUUUCAAGGCCACAAAAUAAGAGGAACAAAAGAUCAAUGGCAGAGCUACAUUGUGUUUUCACAGGUGCAAAGUUAUUGCAUAUUGGAAAAAUUAUAAAGCCAGAUAGAUAGCUAUGACUUCUUAUACUAGAAAAGUGCAUACCCCAUGUCAAUACGUUGAUGUAUUCUACAGUAUGUCUCAAAGAUAAAUAGCCUAGCAUUUUCAAGGAACUCAUCCCUCAGUGGUACAGUUGAAAAGUUGCUUUCUUCAACCCUUUUCCCAAGGAAGGGAUCAUUGAGAAUUACCUGCAAUUUAAAAAUGAGUAAGUAUAAUAUAAUCAAGCCACAUGAAUACAGGUAUCAUGGACAUAUAUGAAAAAAGGGAAACUGAACAAGCCACUUGAGUUACAUCAUUCCUAUAGUUGAUAUAUGUUAUCUAGCAAAAGAAAAAAAAACAAGCUUACUUCUUCACAUUCCCUCAUCUUCUUCUGUGCCCCAUCAAAGUCAUAGUUGACGUAAACACAAGCCAAAAACUCAGUGAUGGGAUCUUUAUAUGAAUGCUGCUCUUGUUGAAUAACUUUAAUAAAGUCUUUGAAUUGUGGCCUCCUUCUCUUGUUAACAAUGAAUGCUGUGGCCAAGUAUCGUAAAAGGUGUGGGGCACUAGUUUGGAUAGCAUUUAGAUACUUGUCCUGAUUGAACAGAUCAAUUAUUUGUGUUCUUCCAUUGUCAUGAUUAAAAAAGAUGAAUAGACUCCAAUGCAUCAGCCAUAUUCUGCUCUGCACCUGGUUCAAAGGCGAUGCAAAACUCUGCAACAAAGUUCUCGAAUUUGUAUUAAUAUAAUAAGCAUAACAAACAAGUACAUGUAUCCACUUCAAAAAUCAACUGACAAAAGAGAACAACCUUUGAGUCAAUGAUUUCCUUCAAGCGAUUGAGCUCUUCAAGAGCAAUGUCCCAGUUCUGCAUCAAAAUUUCAGCUGCCAGCUUCCCCCACAAUGCACUCAAGCUCCUCUCACUAUUUGUGCACAAAGCUCUGUACUGAUAAAGAUAGUCAGCAGCACCAGAGUAGUUCCCACACUCAAACUGAAACUUGGCAUAUUGGUAAAGUGCCUCUAUUUGUGCAGGACCAAUCUGUUCCAACAAACACAUAAUUUAAGCAGUCAGCAAAACAACAAAAUUCAAACUUCAAAACUGAAACAAAUCUUUUAAGAACCACUAAAUAUAACAGCAAACAACUAAGAAAACAAAAUGCUUAAAUAAGAUUAGGAAACAAUCAAAGCAAUCACAUUACCAAUAUACAAUCUCUAUCAAAAGCUUAUAAGAGAGAAAUUAUUAAAAAAAGUGUAGUCAGUUACCUUAAAUAAUUUUCUAAAGCUUAGUAGUCUAAAGAACCUUUUGGGUAUCUAGUACUCCUAUCCCACCAUCCAAAGCUGCUAAAAAUAACCUUAUAAUUCUUGUACAAAGACUCCAGUCCUAGUAUACCAAACCCGACAAGCAAUAAAAUCCUUCAAAAAAAAUCAACACAUUUUAUCCAAACUCUAUGUAAUCAAAGGCAUGUCAAUUGUUAUAAAAAAAAUAUUCGACUGUUUCGCGACAGCUUCGUAUCCUCAUUAACAAGGGGCAAUUCUAAACCUUACUAGCAUAAUAACAUCACUAAAAACCUUUAGAGCAACUAUUAUAUCCUAUCCUACCACUACCAGCCAAAGCUUACCUAAAGUUAUCAAUUUGUUCUCAACAUUCCAAUCCUAAUCCACCAACUCCAAUUCUUUUCCAAACACCACUAACUAAAGCGACGUUUAAAACCCAAUUGCCAUGCAACACUCUCAUAGGAAUAUCUAGCCAUGUGAGGACUGAUUAUUAUUUUGCUUCAAACCUGAUAUCGCUCAUUGAGCAUCUGGAGGUUAUACUGCUUGUCAGCACGAAGCUCCUGCACGGCGGCAGCGUUCUGGAGGAAGGAGACGAGGGGCGCGGCGGCCUCCUCGAGGGACUUGAGGCGGGCGACAACCUCGGCUCGGCGCUCAACCAUGUCAUGAGGAACAUCCUCGGUGUGGUAGAGACUCUUGUGGAUGUCCAUGGCGUAAUCAACCAUGUUGGUGUUGUUGAGGAGGUCGAUCUUCGCCUUCAGGAUGAGGUCAUCGUCGUAUAGCUGGCGCUCCUGCAGAAACUCCAGGAGAGGGAACACCAAAUGCCUGUCGAGGUUCGGCGCCAUCCGAGGGGUAAGGUCGUAAUCAGCCAUUUUUCUCCACACGUCGGAUUCGAUUCCAAAUUCUUACUUCUUCUGCUGGCGCACAGGCAAAUACUGAUUCAAACACUGAUUGAUACAAUACAAUAAAAUAAUCUAUUUGUGAUGUGUUCCGAUAAAUCGGAGUGUUGAGGAAAGGAAACGUGUUUUCCGUGCGACGGUGGUGGAUGAGCGAAAACCUACCUCCUACUGCUGCUGCUGCGGCGUCGUGUGGAGAUAGGGCUCCGACAGAGGCAAGAUGCAGAGACGCAACACUGAGUAUUCGAGAAUAGGGUUUAAAAGCAAGAAGACUAAACGGUAUCGUUUAAGACUUUGGUAAAAUGAGAGAAAAAU
rnacentral:sRNA from 1 species